GACGUAGGGCGCGAGCGUUGUCCGGAUUUAUUGGGCGUAAAGAGCUCGUAGGCGGCUUGUCGCGUCGUCUGUGAAAUCCCGCGGCUCAACUGCGGGUCUGCAGGCGAUACGGGCAGGCUAGAGUUCGGUAGGGGAGACUGGAAUUCCUGGUGUAGCGGUGAAAUGCGCAGAUAUCAGGAGGAACACCGGUGGCGAAGGCGGGUCUCUGG
rnacentral:rRNA from 1 species